rnacentral:rRNA from 1 species
CCUACGGGAGGCAGCAGUGGGGAAUUUUGGACAAUGGGCGCAAGCCUGAUCCAGCAAUGCCGCGUGCAGGAUGAAGGCCUUCGGGUUGUAAACUGCUUUUGUACGGAACGAAAAAGUCUGCCCUAAUACGGUGGGCCCAUGACGGUACCGUAAGAAUAAGCACCGGCUAACUACGUGCCAGCAGCCGCGGUAAUACGUAGGGUGCGAGCGUUAAUCGGAAUUACUGGGCGUAAAGCGUGCGCAGGCGGUUAUAUAAGACAGAUGUGAAAUCCCCGGGCUCAACCUGGGACCUGCAUUUGUGACUGUAUAGCUAGAGUACGGUAGAGGGGGAUGGAAUUCCGCGUGUAGCAGUGAAAUGCGUAGAUAUGCGGAGGAACACCGAUGGCGAAGGCAAUCCCCUGGACCUGUACUGACGCUCAUGCACGAAAGCGUGGGGAGCAAACAGGAUUAGAUACCCUGGUAGUCCACGCCCUAAACGAUGUCAACUGGUUGUUGGGUCUUCACUGACUCAGUAACGAAGCUAACGCGUGAAGUUGACCGCCUGGGGAGUCGGCCGCAAGGUUGAAACUUCAAAGGAAUUGACGGCUGAGACGNGCGAGACGACGACGAGGGAGGAGG